UACGUAGGUGGCAAGCGUUAUCCGGAAUUAUUGGGCGUAAAGCGCGCGCAGGUGGUUUCUUAAGUCUGAUGUGAAAGCCCACGGCUCAACCGUGGAGGGUCAUUGGAAACUGGGAGACUUGAGUGCAGAAGAGGAAAGUGGAAUUCCAUGUGUAGCGGUGAAAUGCGUAGAGAUAUGGAGGAACACCAGUGGCGAAGGCGACUUUCUGGACCAGUACCGACGUUCAGGCACGAAAGCGUGGGGAGCAAACAGG
rnacentral:rRNA from 1 species